rnacentral:rRNA from 1 species
GACGAACGCUGGCGGCGUGCCUAAUACAUGCAAGUAGAACGCACAGUUUAUACCGUAGCUUGCUACACCAUAGACUGUGAGUUGCGAACGGGUGAGUAACGCGUAGGUAACCUGCCUGGUAGCGGGGGAUAACUAUUGGAAACGAUAGCUAAUACCGCAUAAUAUUAAUUAUUGCAUGAUAAUUAAUUGAAAGGUGCAAUUGCACCACUACCAGAUGGACCUGCGUUGUAUUAGCUAGUAGGUGAGGUAACGGCUCACCUAGGCGACGAUACAUAGCCGACCUGAGAGGGUGAUCGGCCACACUGGGACUGAGACACGGCCCAGACUCCUACGGGAGGCAGCAGUAGGGAAUCUUCGGCAAUGGACGAAAGUCUGACCGAGCAACGCCGCGGGAGUGAAGAAGGUUUUCGGAUCGUAAAGCUCUGUUGUAGGAGAAGAACGGGUGUGAGAGUGGAAAGUUCACACUGUGACGGUAUCUUACCAGAAAGGGACGGCUAACUACGUG